GCGUGCUUAACACAUGCAAGUCGAACGCUGAAGCUCCCAGCUUGCUGGGGGUGGAUGAGUGGCGAACGGGUGAGUAACACGUGAGUAACCUGCCCCGAACUCUGGGAUAAGCGCUGGAAACGGCGUCUAAUACUGGAUAUGUCCUAUCACCGCAUGGUGUGUAGGUGGAAAGAAUUUCGGUUCGGGAUGGACUCGCGGCCUAUCAGCUAGAUGGUGAGGUAAUGGCUCACCAUGGCGACGACGGGUAGCCGGCCUGAGAGGGUGACCGGCCACACUGGGACUGAGACACGGCCCAGACUCCUACGGGAGGCAGCAGUGGGGAAUAUUGCACAAUGGGCGCAAGCCUGAUGCAGCAACGCCGCGUGAGGGAUGACGGCCUUCGGGUUGUAAACCUCUUUUAGUAGGGAAGAAGCGAAAGUGACGGUACCUGCAGAAAAAGCACCGGCUAACUACGUGCCAGCAGCCGCGGUAAUACGUAGGGUGCAAGCGUUGUCCGGAAUUAUUGGGCGUAAAGAGCUCGUAGGCGGCUUGUCGCGUCUGCUGUGAAAACCAGAGGCUCAACCUCUGGCCUGCAGUGGGUACGGGCAAGCUAGAGUGCGGUAGGGGAGAUUGGAAUUCCUGGUGUAGCGGUGGAAUGCGCAGAUAUCAGGAGGAACACCGAUGGCGAAGGCAGAUCUCUGGGCCGUAACUGACGCUGAGGAGCGAAAGCAUGGGGAGCGAACAGGAUUAGAUACCCUGGUAGUCCAUGCCGUAAACGUUGGGAACUAGAUGUAGGGCCUGUUCCACGGGUUCUGUGUCGUAGCUAACGCAUUAAGUUCCCCGCCUGGGGAGUACGGCCGCAAGGCUAAAACUCAAAGGAAUUGACGGGGGCCCGCACAAGCGGCGGAGCAUGCGGAUUAAUUCGAUGCAACGCGAA
rnacentral:rRNA from 1 species